CUGAUCAUAAAUACAUAAUUAUCCCUCCUCAUAUAAAUGCAGGACUAGGAGAAUUUUGUGACAAUUGAUCCAAGAAUCUAACAUGCUAAAGUGUUUUACCUUUAACGAAGAACAAAAAGAAGCUACCCGUGUAUCCUCCAAACUACGGCAAACCAGGGACAAAAAACAGAAAGUUCUAUGUAGAUGCAUGUAAUUUUAGCGAUUUAAAGAUAAAAAAUUAGAUGUCUGACGUAUAGAUUUUUAUGUGGUUCCAUCUAAAUAAUAUUUCUAAAUCUGUUUUUUCUCUCAGAAUUAGUUGUCAGGAACCUACUGAAUGGCAAAAUAAAGCGGAAAAACUCUUACAAAACGUAUUUCCCGAAUCAUAAAAAAUAUUAUCCUGCUAAAUAUUUUCCUAAUCGUAAACAAGAUCUAAGUUAGUAAUCCCAUGUUUAUCGAUAAGCAGCGAACUAUUGAGACCUGGCUGACUGUAAACUUUUGUUUUAGUUUACACAUUGAUUAAUAAGGACUUCAAAUACAUCAGUGCUGUAUGAUUCUUAAUAAGUAAAGCUCAUUUUCAUUUUCUUUUCCCCUGCUGAAUCUUAUAGUUUGACUAACCUGAAUAAAAGUAAGAUGUUACAACGUCUUAAAAUAAACAGAUGUAAAUUAUUCAACCUGUUGUUGUUUUUUUGGUAGGACGGAGUUUACUCAUAGUUACUCCCGCCGUUUACCCACGCUUGGUCUUAGAAUAAGAUGCUUAUAUAUAAAAGUGCAGACUCAACUUAGAAUCUCAAAACCAAGCUAAGAACAUCCUUGUGACUCUCCCGAGUUCCCCAAUCAAAA